rnacentral:rRNA from 1 species
UUUCAAACGGGCUACAGAUCAUUGCCAUGGUAAGCGGUUACCCUACCAACUAAAUAAUCUGCCGCAGGCUCCUUUUCAGACGCGAGGUCCCCGAUCCCCCGAUUUAACAACUGUCACCAUUAGGUGCCGCUGCAUUAUGCGGUAUUAGCAACCGUUUCCGGUUGUUAUUCCCCAUCCAAAGGUAGAUUACCUACGUGUUACUAACCCCUCGGCCACGCAGCCGUCGAAGGUAGGGUUCAUGAUUGUUGUGAAGUCGUAAUAAGGUAGCCGUAGCGGAAGCUGCGGCUGGAUCACCUCCUAAUCUAGAUGCAUCGCGAGUUACA